CCAGACUCCUACGGGAGGCAGCAGUGGGGAAUAUUGGGCAAUGGACGCAAGUCUGACCCAGCAACGCCGCGUGAAGGAAGAAGGCUUUCGGGUUGUAAACUUCUUUUAAGGGGGAAGGGCAGAAGACGGUACCCCUUGAAUAAGCCACGGCUAACUACGUGCCAGCAGCCGCGGUAAUACGGAGGAUGCGAGCGUUAUCCGGAUUUAUUGGGUUUAAAGGGUGCGCAGGCGGAGGCACAAGUCAGCGGUAAAAUCGCGGGGCGCACCCCCGCUCCGCCGUUGAAACUGUGUCCCUUGAGUGCGCGAAGGGUAGGCGGAAUGCGUGGUGUAGCGGUGAAAUGCAUAGAUAUCACGCAGAACUCCGAUCGCGAAGGCAGCCUACCGGCGCGCAACUGACGCUCAUGCACGAAAGCGUGGGUAUCGAACAGGAUUAGAUACCCUCGUACCU
rnacentral:rRNA from 1 species